UAGUUUAUAUAAUCAUAUCAUAGAAACUUAUUUAACUAAAUUAACCAUUUUCACAUGGACCUAAAUUUGGUAUAGAACAAGUUAAGUUAGAAUAAAUAUAAAAGAUUAUGAAGUCUUAACAAAAAACUAAUAAAAAUUUAAUCAGUAAUGAUUGAUUGGAUUUUUAAAGGUACACGAGAUUUAGGAAAUCAAUGGAGAUAUGUAUAUCAGACGUCACCAACACCAGCUAUGUAACAUCAACUGUUAAUGGAUUAAAUUUUGAACAACUAAAAAGAAAGUAUAACGUUCAAUGUUGACAUAAGAAUCAUCCAAUAUAAAGAGUUGACAAGUGUUAAGUUGAUUGGCAGGAAUAUGAGAAAAAAAUAAAAAGUGGCAUUGAAGCAGAUAGUUAGUCGGAACCUAUUUGAAGGGGGUUGGUACUGGCAUGGAUAAAGACAAAAACAUAUGGAGCAAUUUAAACAGUAUACACGUAACGAAAUAACAAAUAUACCAAAAAGCUUCUAAAAAUACCAAAUUUGCUAUUGAAUUUUUCUUCAGAACUAUGUAUGUGUGGCAUAUUUGUAGAAUAUAUCCUCAAAAAUUACUGUACAACUAGCGAAUUAUAAAAUUAUUGACCUGAAUAUGGAAUUAAGACUUUAAAAACAGGAAUGCCAACUGAAUAUUUAAAAAAAUGUACCAACAGUUAUUACAAUGGGGAAUGACCUAAAAUACAACAAAACACUUAACAACUGAAUACAUUUGUCAGAAUAAAGUUAAAAACCUUU